rnacentral:lncRNA from 1 species
UUUUUACCAAUUUUUAUUCCCUUUUUAACUGAUUAAUCGAGUUUUGUGGGGAUUUGUCUGACCCCUAUCUUGGCAGGGCAUGCCACCUGAUUUUCUGGUGUUUUUUGCAGCCAUGGUGUGGUUAGAUUCUCUCUUUGCCUGAGCUUAACACGGAUCUGAGCCUCACUUUCUCUGUCGGUUUAGGGAAACAAAAGGUUUGAGAAAUGAACAAAGCAAAAAUGCAAAAGGGAAAUAAUGAGAGUGUUAGGAUUUUUCAUUGAAAGGGUGCUUGCCGCUCUCUGCAUCAGCCAAUGAUUUCUCCAUUACUGUAAUAACCCCAACAACCCAUCUAUCAGUUUUGACGGAGGGAUUAAUAUUAACAGCUUGUUUGGAUGGUUGCUUAUAUGUUAUUUCAAAUGCCCAUCCAUGCUAUGCUCAUACAGUGCAUUCUGUUUUCUAUAAUGCUUCUGCCGGAUAUGAGUGCUGCUGGUGGGGGUAGUGGAAACUGUGGGGGUGAGUACAGUCGGUGGCUUGAUAGAGGCAAUGAUGAUUUUGUCAAUUUUUAAUUCCCUUCUGAUCUGAUUAGUCGGGCAUUUGAGGUUAUCCGACCCGUAUCUUGGAGGGGCAUGCCACCAGAUGUUCUGGUGGUUUUUGCAUCCAUGAAAUGGUUGGACUCUCUUGUUGCUUAGCAUAAUACAGAUCUGAGUCUCACUCUCUCUAUAUCAAUUGGGAAUAUAAUUUAGGGUUCGUUUGGUAUUGGAGACAAGUUAUGUAGGCGUGGGUGUGUAUAAUUGACGGCUUGAAGGAGAGUGCUUUGCCAAUUAUUACUCCCUUCUCAGCAGAUUAAUCCGGCAUUCGAGGAUAUCCGACCUGUAUCUUGGCUGGGCAUGCUUUCAGAUUUUCUGGUGGUUUUUGCAGCCAUGGCGUGGUUGGGCUCUCUUUUUGCUUGGGCUUAUCGCAGAUCUUAGCCUCAAUUUUUCUCUAUUCAGCUUUUUUUUUUUUAAAAAAUAAAUAAAUUAUGGAAAACUAACAUAAAUAUAGACCUUUUAACUUAUCAUAUUUGCACAAAUUCCCACCCAACUAAUUAUGUAUCUUCCUUGGAAUUUGGAUGUGCUGGAGAGCUAAUUAUGUAUCUCGACAGACCCAAAAUCGGAAAUGUACUGGCAGAUAAUUAUGCAUCUUUACAAGGAAAAAAUGUAUCUUUCAUUGGAUGUAUAAUCUAUCUUGAUCCAAAAAUUGAAAAAAAUGUAUCCGGAGCUAAUUAUGUAUCUUUCCAAAGGAAUGUCGGGAUUUUCUGUAAUUAAGUUUCAAACAGUUGGGAUUUAUGUUGUUUGCCCAUGAAUUAUUUAGGGUGUGUUUGAUAUGAAGGAAAAUGUUUUUGAGAUUUGAGAAACAAGGAGCAAAAUUCUCAAAAGGGAAAGAAUUGAGGCUACAGAGAGUUGAGGAUUUUCAUUGAAAGGGUUGGUGCCUCGUUUGAUAUGAAGGAAAAUGUUUUUGAGAUUUGAGAAACAAGGAGCAAAAUUCUCAAAAGGGAAAGAAUGAGGCUACAGAGAGUUGAGGAUUUUCAUUGAAAGGGUUGGUGCCUCUCUCUGCAUUGAGCCAAUGAUUUCUCCAUUAAUAUAAGAAACCCAACAACUCUUAUCAAUUUAAACCGGGGGAAAUGUUAGUAACAUCUCUUUUGGAUUGCUGUUAUAUAUUGUUUCAAAGGGUUCUAUGCCCUUCAAAUCAUCUUUUUCUCUUCCUUUUUUAAUGCUUCCGUCGGAGCAUUGAAUGUUGCUGUUGGAGCUGGUGGAUGCGGCGCUUGUAAGUAUAAUUGGUGGCUUUAAAGAGGCUAUGAUGAUUUUGCUAAUUUUUAUUACCUUCUGAGCUGAUUAACCGAGCACUUGAGGGUAUUCGACCCGUAUCUUGGCGGGGCAUGCCACAAGAUUUUCUGGUGGUUUUUGCAGCCAUGGCGUGGUUGGACUUUCUUUUUGCCUGAGCUUAACAUAGAUCUGAGCCUCACAUUCUUGGUCCGUUUAGGGGAACAAAUGGUUAGGGAAAUGAAUAAAGCAAAUGCUCAAAAGGAAAUGAAUGAGGCAACAAAGAGUUGAGGAUUUUUCAUUGAAAGGGUGAAUUGUCUCUCUCUGCGUUCAGCCAAUGAUUUCUCCAUUAUUGUAAGUAUCUCAACUAUCCUUCGGCUGGAGUAUAUUAUUAACAGCUUGCUUGGAUUGUUGUUAUAUAUGGUUUCAAAGGGUUUCUAUGCCUUUUAACUCUUUUUUUUAUUUUUUUUUUAUUUUUUUUAUUAUGCUUCCUCCGGAGCAUUGAAAUGUUGUCAGUGGAAGCGAUGUCGGGGAGCAUAAUCGGACGACUUGAAAGAGGCGAUGAUGAUUUUUACCAAUUUUUAUUCCCUGCCGUGCUGAUUAAUCGGGCAUUUGAGGUUAUCUGACCUGUAUCUUGGCGGGGCAUGCUUCCAGAUUUUCUGGUGGCUUUUGCAGCCAUGGCGGGGUUGGACUCUCUUUUUGCUUGAGCUUAAGCUUCAAAUCUGAGCCUCUAUUUUCUGGACUCCAUUACUGUAAGAAACCCAAUAACCCUUUUGUCAAUUUUAAGGGACGGAAAAGUUCCAGGAAAUGAAUAAUGCAAAAGCUCAGAGGGGAAAGAAUGAGGCUACAGAGAGAUUUGAGGGUUUUUGUUGCAAGGGUGGUUGCCUCUCUCUUAAUCAGCCAAUGAUUUCUCCAUUACUAUAAGAAUCCCAACAACCCUUUUAUCAAUUUAAAACGGAGUUAACAGCUCGUCUGGAGGGUUGUUACAUAUCGUUUCAAAGGGUUUCUGUGCCCUUCAACUCUUUUUUUCUUCUUUUUUUUUAAUGCUUCCGCUGGAGCAUUGGAUGUUGCCGGUGGAAGCGAUGAUGGUGAGUAUAAUUGGAUUACUUGAGAGAGGCAAUGAUGAUUUUUACCAAUUUUUAUUCCCUUGUGAGCUGAUUUAUUAGGUAUUUGAGGUUAUCCGACCCGUAUCUUGGCGGGGCAUGCCACCAACUUUUCUGGUGGCUUUUGCAGACAUGGCAUGGUCGGACUCUCUUCUAACCUGAGCUUUACACAGAUCUGAGCCUCACUUUCCAUGUCAGUUUAGGGAAAUGAACAAAGCAAAAGCUCAAAAGAGGAAGAAUGAGGCCAUGGAGAGUUUAGCGAUUCUUCAUUGAAAGGAUCGUUGCUGCUCUCUGCAUCAGCCGAUGAUUUCUGCAUUACUGUAAGAAACCCAGCAAUGCUUUUAUCAGUUUUAACAGAUGGAGUAUAUUAUUAACAGACCUUUGGCAGGGUAAGGCUGCAUAAACAUCACCCUCUCAAAUUGCACUUGUGGGAUAUACUGGGAGUAUUGCUAUUUGUUGUUGUUUUGACUAUAUUAUUAACAGCUCGCUUGCAUGGUUGUUACAUAUUGUUUCAAAGCAUUUUUAUACCCUCCAACUCUUUUUUUUAAAUGCUUUCACCGGAGCAAUUGAAUGUUGCCGGUGUGAUCGGUGGAAGCGAUGGUGGUGAGUAUAAUCAGACUGCUUGAAAGAGGCGAUGGUGAUUCUUGUCAAAUUUUAUUUCCUUUCUGAGCUGAUUAACUAGUCAUUUGAGGUUAUCCGAUCUGUAUCUUGGCGAGGCAUUCCAACAGUUUUUCUGGUGGUUUUUGCAGCCAUGGCGUGGUUGGACUCUCCUUUUACCUGAUCUUAACACAGAUCUGAUCCUCACUUUCUCUGUUGUUUAGGGAAGCAAAUGGGUAGGGAAAUGAUCAAAGCAAAAGUCAUAAGGGAAAGAAUGAGGCUACAGAGAGUUGAGGAUUUUCAUUGAAAGGGUGGUUGCAUCUCUCUGUAUUCAGUCAAUGAAGCCAAUGAUUUCUCCAUUACUCUAAGAAUCCCAACAACCCUUUUAUCAAGUUUAAGAGGGAAUAAUAUUUAACAACAUUUUGAAUGGUGGUUUACUUAUCAUUUCAAAGGUUUUAUAUACCUUCAAUGCUGUGUUUUUUCCAUGAAUGUAGAACAUAAAUGACGGGAAAAAGCCAAAUCAACUGAAGUUAUGCAGAUCUAAGCCUCAUUCAGUGGCUACACAUUUGAGCCUCACUCUUUAAAAAAAAUCAUUUUUGUAAAUAUAUUUUAUUUAGUGUUCGUUUGGUUUAAGAACAAGAUAUGCUAGUGGCGAUGAGUGCAAUUGACUGGAUUGAAAGAGGCUAUGAUGAUUUUGUAGAUCCUUCAUUCCUUUAUGAGCUUUCUAAUGGAGCAUUUGAGAUUAUGCGACCCGUUUCCUGGCGGGGCAUGCCCCCAGAUUAUCUGGUGUUUUUUGCAGCCAUAGCAUCGUUGAACUCUCUUUUUGCCUGAGCUUAAAGUUCUGAGCCUUAAUUUAUGGAUUGGACAAACUCUCUUUUUGCCUGAGCUUAAAGUUCUGAGCCUUAAUUUAUGGAUUGGACAAACUCUCUUUUUGCCUGAGCUUAAAGUUCUGAGCCUUAAUUUAUGGAUUGGACAAACUCUCUUUUUGCCUGAGCUUAAAGUUUUGAGCCUCAAUUUACGGACUGGACAAAAGCAGACAUGUAAAAGCAGUGCUAUCAAAGGCGAGCUUAAGCCAUGAAGCAAGGCUCAAAACGUGUUGUGCUCUUCGCCUCGCUUUAUAUGUGCUUUGGUAUCGUUAUCAAGUUUCUAAGGCAUACUUUUCCUUGCCAAUGAGUUUCUCUUGAAGAGGUUACACUAAACAGUUGAUAUUUCACUUUAUCGUAAUUGUUUUUUAAUUUCUUUAUUCAUAUUUUGACAUUUAUGCUUAUAAUUAUUAGUCUUGGACUAAACAUAAAUAUUCAUUUAAAGAUAUGACACCUGAGCCUUACUCAACCUAAAAAAAACUAGCUCAUGAGGAAAGGAUUGCCCAAAUCUAUAUAAGCAAACCACCAGUCCAUUUCCCAACCAAUAUGAGAUUUUUACCCACUCUAACACCCCUUCACGUCUAGGCCCCAAUUGGCGCGUGGACCGGGAGCCCAAACGGGGAUGGACCUAGCUCUGAUACCAUGUAAAAAUACGACACCUGGGUCUAACUCAACCUCAAAAGCUAACUCACGAGGGGAGAAUUGCCCAAGUCCAUAUAAUCAAACAACCGGUCCAUUCCCAACCAAUGUGGGACUUUUACCUACUCUAACAAUUUAUAUUUUUUCUCCCUUUGCGCUUUUUUUCAUUGAAGCCCACACUUUUGUCUAU